UACAGAGGGUGCAAGCGUUGUUCGGAAUUAUUGGGCGUAAAGGGCGCGUAGGCGGUCUGUCGCGUCUGCGUGUGAAAACCUAGGGCUUAACUCUGGGCGUGCAGUGGGUACGGGCAGGCUAGAGUGCGGUAGGGGAGACUGGAAUUCCUGGUGUAGCGGUGAAAUGCGCAGAUAUCAGGAGGAACACCGGUGGCGAAGGCGGGUCUCUGGGCCGUAACUGACGCUGAGGAGCGAAAGCAUGGGGAGCGAACAGG
rnacentral:rRNA from 1 species